rnacentral:lncRNA from 1 species
UAGCAUGUAUCUUCCCCCAAACCUUGUUUUUUUAUAUAUUUGGUACUGCCCUGAAACAAGACUGUGUCUCCUCUGCUGAUGUCUUUUGUUUUGGGGACAGUGCCUGCCAUAUUGAACGACAGCAUCAUCAGGCAGUCUCAGUCAUGGUAUAUUCAGGCCUGAGUUCUAUCCUGAUUCUACUCAAGCUUUAGGAGCUAAGGCAUUUGCAAAUCUGCUGUGAAAAUUCCUGAGGAAACAAGUUUCUAUAAACACUAGGGAUUACUAACCUCUUCGACUUCUGUUUAACAAAUUUUCACCUCCAAUAUCUGUGCCGUGAACUUUCUCUACCCUUA